GCUUUCCCCGCUUGGCAGAUGGAUGCCUUGUGAACUUAAAGGCAAAGUAAUCAACUUAACAUAAAUCGCAAGAUGCAAUUUCACAGGGUCGGACGCCACCAUACGUUCUAGCCUGUAGUAGCUAGACAUUUGUUGACGACAAGUAGCCUAGCGUGACUGGCAAUGCUGCUGAGGUAAAAAUAUAUCCUGACACAUCUCAAAAGGCGUAAACGAAUAACCCACAAGAGCACGAACUGUGUUGGGAGGGAGGUGUCAAGCCCAGAGGCUGCAUUUCGGCCAAUUAAAGUCGUCGACCCCCUUUGCAAUACGUCAGCCCGCUAAGGGAGGGAUCUGAGCGUGAGCGAUGUGUGCGGUUUCCAAGGCAACCACUUGUCCUGACCUCCCCAUCCCCAUCCACCUCAGCUUCCUGUGACCUGUUGAGACUCAUCUGCAUGCCAUGGACUGAGGGUGUGUUCACCAAAGGGAUGGGGGUGGGUGAGGAGGG
rnacentral:lncRNA from 1 species